rnacentral:rRNA from 1 species
GAUGAACGCUGGCGGCGUGCCUAAUACAUGCAAGUCGAGCGAACAGACGAGGAGCUUGCUCCUCUGACGUUAGCGGCGGACGGGUGAGUAACACGUGGAUAACCUACCUAUAAGACUGGGAUAACUUCGGGACACCGGAGCUAAUACCGGAUAAUAUAUUGAACCGCAUGGUUCAAUAGUGAAAGACGGUUUUGCUGUCACUUAUAGAUGGAUCCGCGCCGCAUUAGCUAGUUGGUAAGGUUAAGGCUUACCAAGGCAACGAGGCGUAGACGACCUGAGAGGGUGAUAGGCCACACUGGAACUGAGACACGGUCCAGACUCCUACGGGAGGCAGCAGUAGGGAACCUGCCGCAAUGGGCGAAAGCCUGACGGAGCAACGCCGCGUGAGUGAUGAAGGUCUUCGGAUCGUAAAACUCUGUUAUUAGGGAAGAACAAAUGUGUAAGUAACUAUGCACGUCUUGACGGUACCUAAUCAGAAAGCCACGGCUAACUACGUG